CCAUAUUUCUCUCGGUAGCUCUUUAGUAACAUUCAUCUCUAUGAGCAUUCGAGCAUAGGAAACUCUAGAUUGUUUGGUUGUACAUUCAUCUGCAAAGAUAGGAUUCCCUAACACACUGGCAAUUCUACUUAGGGAUCUCAUUCCCCAACAAGACAUUGGAAGUUUAGGGAAUUUGACCCAUAGUGGAAUAUCAACAGGGAAGUCCUCUGUGAAGUCAAAAUCUGGCGUCCAUUGCUUAAGAAUCAUGGGUCUGUUUGCUAUAGAAUAAGGACCAGCACACAUGAUUUCUUUGGCAUCAUCAAUUGUUCU
rnacentral:lncRNA from 1 species